UACAGAGGGGGCAAGCGUUGUUCGGAAUUACUGGGCGUAAAGGGCGCGUAGGCGGAUUGUUAAGUCGGGGGUGAAAUCCUGGAGCUCAACUCCAGAACUGCCUUCGAUACUGGCGAUCUCGAGUUCGGGAGAGGUGAGUGGAACUGCGAGUGUAGAGGUGAAAUUCGUAGAUAUUCGCAAGAACACCAGUGGCGAAGGCGGCUCACUGGCCCGAUACUGACGCUGAGGUGCGAAAGCGUGGGGAGCAAACAGG
rnacentral:rRNA from 1 species